rnacentral:ncRNA from 1 species
AAUGAUUCUAUUAACUAUCAUAAUUAUAACUUUAAACUAUUUAACUUAUAUUUGAGGCGUGCAAAGGUUUCAUCGGGCCGAACGAAGAUCGACCCUCGAGUGCAAAGAUAGAAGGGAGCUUGACUGCAAGAUCCACCAGUCGAGCAGGGAUGAAAGUUGGCCUUAGUGAUUCGACGGUGCCAAGUGGAAGGGUCAUCGCUCAACGGAUAAAAGUUACUCUAGGGAUAACAGACUAAUCUUCCCCAAGAGCUCACAUUGGCGGGAAGGUUUGGCACCUUGAUGUCGGCUCUUCGCCACCUGGGGCUGUAGUAUGUUCUAAGGGUUGGAUUGUUCGCCCAUUAAAAAGAAUUGUGAGUUGGGUUCAGAAUGUCAUGAGACAGUUUGGUC